GGGGGUGAUCCGGUUUCGACGGGACGAGUUGAGGUCGGGUAGCGCGUCGUGGAUUCUCGUUGGCCACGUUAAAAAACGGGAACACCAAGUAACUGCGAACAACAGCUACAAAAUGGCCGCCUAAAUUUGGCCGCCGUGUCGAAGCGCCGAUGUCUGCUGAGCGCCUAGGCAUCAUCUAGCAGGCCACGCUUAGGGGGGCUCCGCUCGCUCGCUUAAGGGUGCCGAAUCGAACGGAUGGAUGCGGAUAAGCCCGUGCGUCGGCAUACCGCGUCCGAGAUCAAUGGCGCAAUACACGCGUAGAAGCUCGGGUGAUGCCGUUUCGGACAGGGGUUCGACUCCCCUCACCUCCA
rnacentral:tmRNA from 1 species